GUUCAUCUUCAGGGCAGGGUGUAAUUCCCGACCGGUGGUAAAAGUCCACGAGCUUCUUUCGAGAGGUUGAUGCGGUGUAAUUCCGUAACCGACUGUAAAGUCAGGAUGGGAGAAGAUGUGA
rfam:Brochothrix thermosphacta DSM 20171 = FSL F6-1036 c24, whole genome shotgun sequence.